rnacentral:rRNA from 1 species
UACGUAGGGUGCAAGCGUUGUCCGGAAUUAUUGGGCGUAAAGAGCUCGUAGGCGGUCUGUCGCGUCGGAUGUGAAAAUCCAGGGCUUAACCCUGGGCCUGCAUUCGAUACGGGCAGACUAGAGUUCGGUAGGGGAGACUGGAACUCCUGGUGUAGCGGUGAAAUGCGCAGAUAUCAGGAGGAACACCGGUGGCGAAGGCGGGUCUCUAGGCCGACACUGACGCUGAGGAGCGAAAGCGUGGGGAGCGAACAGG